CUACGGCUAUAUCACGUUGGAACACCGUUUCUUGUGCGAUCACCGAAGUAAAGAAACGUCGAGCCUGAUCAGUACUUGGGUAACCGCUUGGGAAUACCAGGUGUUGUAA